AUUGAACGCUGGCGGCAUGCCUUACACAUGCAAGUCGAACGGCAGCACGGGAGCAAUCCUGGUGGCGAGUGGCGAACGGGUGAGUAAUAUAUCGGAACGUGCCCAGUAGUGGGGGAUAACUGCUCGAAAGAGCGGCUAAUACCGCAUACGACCUGAGGGUGAAAGGGGGGGAUCGCAAGACCUCUCGCUAUUGGAGCGGCCGAUAUCAGAUUAGCUAGUUGGUGGGGUAAAGGCCUACCAAGGCAACGAUCUGUAGUUGGUCUGAGAGGACGACCAGCCACACUGGGACUGAGACACGGCCCAGGCUCCUACGGGAGGCAGCAGUGGGGAAUUUUGGACAAUGGGCGCAAGCCUGAUCCAGCAAUGCCGCGUGCAGGAAGAAGGCCUUCGGGUUGUAAACUGCUUUUGUCAGGGAAGAAAUCCUCUAGGUUAAUACCCUUGGGGGGAUGACGGUACCUGAAGAAUAAGCACCGGCUAACUACGUGCCAGCCGCCGCGGUAAGAC
rnacentral:rRNA from 1 species